GAACAAGGCCUUCCUGUUCCUAGGUGAAGAGUUUUGGCCUUUCAGCAACCCAGUGGGUGCAAGGACUAUGUUCUGAGAACAGCAACCCUGCACAUUUAGAAAAUCUACGGGGUCAGCAUCAAGAACAUCCUUGGAGGAGGAGACAGACUCAGAGUGCACCUCAGUAACUUGCCAGAUGAAACCAACGGAUGGGUUAAGUGAGGUACCGAAUGGGAAUGGCCUUAUGCGAUACUGCCUUGAUUUAACAGUGUUUGAUUGGCAUGAAGCGGUCCUGAUCUGUGACCCAUGGCAAACGCUUCAGGGUCACUUUAUUCAGAUGCCGAGGAUCUCUUCCUUGGGUGGCAUUUCCCUCAGUUCUUAAGUUUCCAGUGUCGUUCCAAAAUGGGUCACACAGGAAGGAGAUGUGAGAAACUGACUAGAUUUGAUACUGAGAGGUCAUCUUUGCAUGUCACAUCACAUCAAAAGGCAACCCUGGGAUCUGCUCACACGUCAGUUUGGGCCAGUCUCUAAGAAAAGGCUUUUCUUAGCUUGGUAGGAAAUGCAGAAGAGAGCAAGGAGAAGAGGGAAAAUAUUUUCCCUACCUAGCUUAUUUAAUUACAUUGUUUCACAAGCCAGCCCCUCUCUAAAAAUUACUAUUGUGCAAAUGCUUCCAACAUCGUUUGCUGCCUGCUGCUUAUGAUUUAGCAUAAAUUCGCCAGAUGCAAAUCAUGUAAUUCAUCAGCCUUGAGGUGACGUGAUAGCGGUGCCUCUGAAUCAGGAAAAGCCAGGGCGGAAGCCUCUGCUUCUCCUGGGUGGGUGUUGUGUUGCGCUUGCCGCUUGGGCUGAUGGGAAUACGUAUCGAUCAUAUGCAGGCCAGUUGCUGUGCCCAGGAGUCCACUGCAGCCUCCAGAAUGUGGACAACCGAGUUCUUGACAAAUUCCAGCCAGAGCUCAGCACCUGAGCAUCUCCAAGUGUUUCAUAGUUUGCCUCAGAUGCAUGCAAGAAGGCGUGUUCCCAUCCCAAGCUGGGAAAGGCCUCCUCCGCAAGAGAAGGCACAAAGACAGUUUGUGUGCCACCAGGAAAAUGCACAACCCACAGUACUCUUCAGAGGUCCCCAGUCUGCCAUAUCCAGGAUGGACAGAGAGCUUCCCUUAGCGUCCCUGCAAUAUAACGAGUCAUCUUGAAGAUGACUUCUCUGCAUCACAGGAAUGUCUGUCUGUUAAAGACGCCAAGAACUGUGCCCUUGAUGGAAAAUAGUAAUUGAGCCUUGAAAAGAUUUUGUUUUGUUUGUCUUUUCUAAUUCCGCUGUGAAACUCAGAGAAUGGGCCUCCAUUGCUGAUUAAAAAUCCUGGCAUUUGGAUGCUUUUUCCAGUGAAAGGUAUCUUCGUCGCGUACUUAGCUCCUUUGAACCCAACAGUUUGGCUCCUCGCCAUGUGUUUUCAAUGGCUUUUCUCAACCUAAACUCUCACGAAAUAGUUAAAAAUGCAAACAAGAUGCUAUGUUUCUCUUUGCAUAUCAUAUAUCAUCUCUUUCUGAUUUUGGAGUGUAUCCUUCCAUAGUACUGCAGCAAAUAAACAAGAGGAAGAAGAGCUAGGCAAGGAGUAAGACACCUGGGCCUGUCAUUGCUUCUGCUCCCUUCCUGGACUCUACUUGACCUGGCCUGAAGGAAGGGAGUUAGAGUACCCAUCACCUGCCACUGCAGGGGACGCGGGAAGCCUGCUGACAGAAUUCACAGGAAGGAAGAGACAUUUUACUGACCUUUCGGGGGCAGGAAACGCCCUCUGCUCUUUGACUGACAGCUUUGAGCUUUGGCCUAAGACGCCUAUUUGUUUUGGCUGAAGUUUAGAAUCUGGUUAAUGCCAGUUUUGUCACCAAGAAUCCGGCUAGAGACUAAACCUGUAAAAGGUGAAAAGCUCUGCUUUCUUGGGUAUUUCUGGGAUGCCCGCACGCCUACGAGGAUUCCUUUUGUGAUGAUUUGAGGGAAAUUGCUGCUGUACAGAGUAUUUGCUUUUUGUAAUCUAUGCUGUCUGCCCGCCGACUGUGUGUCCAGUGCCCAUGUGCUGACCUGGAAGGGCCGGCGAGCGGGCUGAGAAGGACCUCGAUUAGGAAACAAGCUACACCCAGAGCAGCUGCAAGCUGUGCUCUAAUACGUGGGUGGGAGUGAGGGUGUGCAAAUAAAGGGACUAGAAAGAUUCUGGUUUAA